AGCGAACGCUGGCGGCAGGCCUAAAACAUGCAAGUCGAACGCCGUAGCAAUACGGAGUGGCAGACGGGUGAGUAACACGUGGGAACAUACCCUUUGGUUCGGAACAACACAGGGAAACUUGUGCUAAUACCGGAUAAGCCCUUACGGGGAAAGAUUUAUCGCCGAAAGGAUUGGCCCGCGUCUGAUUAGCUAGUUGGUGGGGUAACGGCCCACCAAGGCUACGAUCAGUAGCUGGUCUGAGAGGANGAUCAGCCACACUGGGACUGAGACACGGCCCAGACUCCUACGGGAGGCAGCAGUUAGGAAUCUUGGACAAUGGGCGCAAGCCUGAUCCAGCCAUGCCGCGUGAGUGAUGAAGGCCUUAGGGUUGUAAAGCUCUUUCAGCGGGAAGAUAAUGACGGUACCCGCAGAAGAA
rnacentral:rRNA from 1 species